GGUACUGUGACCAAGGCAACUGAAGAAAUACAGCAUUUCAUGGGGGGCUUGGCUGCAGUUUCAGAGGAAACAAGUAAAAGAAGGGGAAAUGAGAAACACGCCUGCAGCCUCUCACACGCGGAAGACCCUCCUACACUACAAGCUACAUCUGGUGCACGUAGUGUUUAUGCUACCUGCUACUGCAUGAUUUACACUUGGCUGAUGGACACCGUCCAGGGAUUACCCACAGAACGCAAACUGCCAAGCUUUGGACUUUGUAGAAAAAAAUGAUGUAAACUAGUCCAGCCUAUACAAUUGGUCCCUGUGUCUUCAUCUAGGUCAGCCAGUCAGACGUUACAGAUGAGUGCCCUCUUGCCCAGCCUUUAACCAGGCUUUCAGCCUUCCUGGGCCCUGACAACAAUGCCCUACUUCCAACCUAUAGGUGGAACAACAUUAUGAACUAACCAGUACCAC